UUUGAAAUAUGAAGUUUUACAUUUUUUGUAGAUUAAAUAAUUUGUAAAAUGUUGCAGUUUCGUCAAUCAGUUUUAUAAGAUAUUGAGCUUUAAAUAUGAUGCAGAUUGUAAGAUUCUUAAUAUCUUUCAAUAUUGUGGAUAAGUUUUUGAGAUAUCAAGCUUUGAGUUUUAUGCAAAUUGUAUGAUUUUAAAAUGUUUUAAUGGUGUUGAUCAGUGUAAUGAAGAUUGCAUAAUUUUUAUGUUUUAAUUCUGUCUAUUGGUUUUCAAAAUGAAAGACUUUGAUUUGUAAGUGCACUUUUAUCUCCUGAAAGAUUCUUUUCUAGUGUUUAGUUUAUAUUUUAAGGCUGUUUGCAAACUCGAAGUGAAAACAGUUCUAUUACAAUUUGGUAAGGACAUGACAUUGCAUAUCUGAUUUUAAAAUGUACUUUGCUGGCAACGUGUAAUUUUCUGAAAUGUCUUAGUAAGACUGUUGUUUGCAAUCAAAAGGUCUGUGCUUCAAAUACAGGGUAAUGCAUGUUUUUUGUCCAAAUUUAUGGCGAUUCAGACAUUGUUCUAUGUAAAUUUGGGGUUUGCUUGAAGGUUCAGUCUAUUUUUAUGUCCCUCACUAUAGUAGUGGGGGACAUAUUGUUUUUGUCCUGUCUGUUGGUUGGUUGGUUGAUCUGUUUACGCCAACUUUAACAUUUGCAAUAACUUUUGCAAUAUUGAAGAUAGCAACUUGAUAUUUGGCAUGCAUAUGUAUCUCAUAGAGCUGCACAUUUUAAUUUUCUGAAAGGUCAAGGUCAGAGGUCAAAUAUAUGUGGCCAAAAUCGCUCAUUUUAUGAAUACUUUUGCAAUAUUGAAGAUAGCAACUUCAUAUUUGGCAAGCAUGUGUAUCUCAUGGAGCUGCACAUUUUGAGUGGUGAAAGGUCAAGGUCAUAAUUCAAUGUCAUAGGUCGAAUAUAUGGCUUCAAAGCGGCGCAGUAAGGGGGAUUGUGUUUUACGAACACAGCUCUUGUUGUUAACUGCCUUUUUAGUCCCUUACCAGUGUUUCACUAAAGUCCGUGUACUUUGGACUCAUUUCAAGUUGACAUUUGAAGCUUUAACUUUGUAUGAUUCUAAAUAUGUGUCAAUGCUGUCGGUUGAAUUUUGAAAUAUGAAGUUUUUCAUUUUUUGUAGAUUAAAUAAUUGUAAAAUGUUGCAGUUUAGUCAAUCAGUUUUAUAAGAUAUUGAGCUUUAGUUAUGAUGCAGAUUGUAAGAUUCUUAAUAUCUUUCAAUAUUGUGGAUAAGUUUUUGAGAUAUCAAGCUUUGAAUUUUAUGCAAAUUGUAUGAUUUAAAAUGUUUUAAUUUGUUGAUCAGUGUACUGAAGAUUGUAUACUUUUUAUAUGUUAUAAUUCUGUCUAUUGGUUUUCAAAAUGAAAGACUUUGAUUUUGUAAGUUCACUUUUAUCUCAUUAUGCCCCCCUUCGAAGAAGAGGGGGUAUAUUGCUUUGCUCAUGUCGGUCGGUCUGUCGGUAUGUCAGUUUGUCGGUCCGUCCACCAGGUGGUUGUCAGACGAUAACUCAAGAACGCUUGGGCCUAGGAUCAUGAAACUCCAUAGGUACAUUGAUCAUGACUCGCAGAUGACCCCUAUUGAUUUUGAGGUCAAAGGUCAAGGUCACGGUGACCCAAAAUAGUAAAAUGGUUUCCGGAUGAUAACUCAAAAAUUCAUACGCCUAGGAUCAUGAAACUUCAUGGCUAGAUUGAUCAUGACUUGCAGAUGACCCCUAUUGAUUUUGAGGUCACUAGGUCAAAGGUCAAGGUCACGGUGACCCGAAAUAGUAAAAUGGUUUUCAGAUGAUAACUCAAGAACGCAUAUGCCUAGGAUCAUGAAACUUCACAGGUAGAUUGAUCAUGACUCACAGAUGACCCUUAUUGAUUUUGAGGUCACAAGGUCAAGGUCACGGUGACCCGAAAUAGUAAAAUGAUUUUCGGAUGAUAACUCAAGAACGCUUUUGCCUAGGAUCAUGACACUUCAUAGGUACAUUGAUCGUGACUCACAGAUGACCCCUAUUGAUUUUCAGGUCACUAGGUCAAAGGUCAAGGUCACAGUGACAAAAAACGUAUUCACACAAUGGCUGCCACUACAACGGACAGCCCAUAUGGGGGGCAUGCUUGUUUUACAAACAGCCCUUGUUAAAGAUUCUUUUCUAGUGUUUAGUUUAUAUUUUAAGGCUGUUUGCAAACUCGAAGUGAAAACAGCUCUAGUACAAUUUGGUAAGGACAUGACAUUGCAUAUCUGAUUUAAAAAUGUACUUUGCUGGCAACGUGUAAUUUUCAGAAAUGUCUUAGUAAGUAAGACUGUUGUUUGCAAUCAAAAGGUCUGUGCUUCAAAUCCAGGAAAAUGCAUGUUUUUUGUCCAAAUUUAUGUCAAUUCAGACAUUGUUCUGUGUAAAUAUGGGGUUUGCUUGUAGGAUCAGUCUAUUUUUAUGUCCCCCACUAUAGUAGUGGGGGACAUGUUGUUUUUGCUCUGUCGGUCUGUUGAUUGGUUGGUUGGUCUGUUUAUGCCAACUUUAACAUUUUGCAAUAUUGAAAGUAGCAACUUGAUAUUUGGCAUGCAAAUGCAUCUCCUGAAGCUGCACAUUAUCAUUGGUGAAAGGUCAAGGUCAUCCUUCAAGGUCAGAGGUCAAAUAUAUGUGGCCAAAAUCGCUCAUUUUAUGAAUUCUUUUGCAAUAUUGAAGAUAGCAACUUGAUAUUUGCCAAGCAUGUGUAUCUCAUUGAGCUGCACAUUUUGAGUGGUGAAAGGUCAAGGUCAUCCUUCAAGGUCAGAGGUCAAAUAUAUGUGGCCCAAAUCGCUUAUUUUAUUAAUACUUUUGCAAUAUUGAAGAUAGCAACUUGAAAUUUGGCAUGCAUGUGUAUCUCAUGGAGCUGCAAAUUUUGAGUGUUGAAAGGUCAAAGUCAUCCUUCAAGGUCAGAGGUUAAAUAUAUGUGGCCCAAAUCGCUUAUUUUAUGAAUACGUUUGCACUAUUGAAGAUAGCAACUUGAUAUUUGGCAUGCAUAUGUAUCUCAUAGAGCUGCACAUUUUGAGUGGUGAAAGGUCAAGGACAUCCUUCAAGGUCAAAUAUAUGGGUCAAAAUUGCUCAUGUUAUGUUACUUCUGCAAUAUUGAAGCUAGCAAUUUUAUAUUUGACAUGCAUGUGUAUCUCAUGGAGCUGCACAUUUUGAGUGGUGAAGGGUCAAGGUCAUCCUUCAAGGUCAAACGUUAUAUACGGGGACAUUGGGUUUCACAAACGCAUCUUGUUGUGUAUGUAAUUAAUUUUGCUUAAUUUUUGUGAUCCCCCGCCAACAGCGGAGGGAUAUUAAUUUGGCAUUGUCCGUCUUUCCGUCUGGCACUUUUGUGUCCGGAACCAUAUCUUGGAAGUGCUUAAGCAGAUUUCAUUGAAACUUGGUACGAGUAUAUAUAUAUGGAUAAGAGGAUGAUGCACGCCAAAUGGCAUUGUACAUCCUUGAUUAAUAGCGGAGUUAUGACCCUUUGUAUUUGAAAAAAAUGCUUUUUUUGUGUGUCUAGAGCCAUAACUUGUAUCCAGAAGUAUAAUGGCGGGGGAUAUCAAUUCAACGAAUUUGCUUGUUAAAUCAGUUUUUAUUUUCAUGAUAAUCAUUUAGUUCGUACUGCAACUUAUGAUGGAUUGUUACUACUAUCUCCAAUUAUUUGUUUGUCAUGGGUCCGUCACCAUUUAUCUCUUAUAUAAUACUUGAAUUGAGCAUUUCACAAUCUGACAAUCAUGCAUAUCAUUUAUUAGUUUCAUAAUAAAACGUCUGACAAGGGUCAGAUAAUUUUAA